rnacentral:rRNA from 1 species
GACGAACGCUGGCGGCGUGCUUAACACAUGCAAGUCGAACGGAAAGGCCCUGCUUUUGUGGGGUGCUCGAGUGGCGAACGGGUGAGUAACACGUGAGUAACCUGCCCUUGACUUUGGGAUAACUUCAGGAAACUGGGGCUAAUAACGGAUAGGAGCUCCUGCUGCAUGGUGGGGGUUGGAAAGUUUCGGCGGUUGGGGAUGGACUCGCGGCUUAUCAGCUUGUUGGUGGGGUAGUGGCUUACCAAGGCUUUGACGGGUAGCCGGCCUGAGAGGGUGACCGGCCACAUUGGGACUGAGAUACGGCCCGGACUCCUACGGGAGGCAGCAGUGGGGAAUAAUGCACAAUGGGCGGAAGCCUGAUGCAGCAACGCCGCGUGCUGGAUGACGGCCUUCGGGUUGUAAACCGCUUUCGCCUGUGACGAAGCGUGAGUGACGGUAAUGUGUAAAGAAGCACCGGCUAACUACGUG